rnacentral:tRNA from 1 species
AAGCGAGGCUUGACAGUAACGAAGACUGCUAAUCUUCCCGCCCUUGGUUUAAUUCCAAGGCUCACUUG